rnacentral:rRNA from 1 species
GACGAACGCUGGCGGCGUGCUUAACACAUGCAAGUCGAGCGGGGGCAUUCCUUUCGGGGGGUGUUCUAGCGGCGAACGGGUGAGUAACACGUGGGCAACCUGCCUCUAGCUUUGGGAUAACUCCGGGAAACCGGGGCUAAUACCGGAUAUGACUUCGCCGGGCAUCUGGUGGGGUGGAAAGUUUUUCGGCUAGGGAUGGGCCCGCGGCCUAUCAGCUUGUUGGUGGGGUGAUGGCCUACCAAGGCGACGACGGGUAGCCGGCCUGAGAGGGCGACCGGCCACACUGGGACUGAGACACGGCCCAGACUCCUACGGGAGGCAGCAGUGGGGAAUAUUGCACAAUGGGCGAAAGCCUGAUGCAGCGACGCCGCGUGAGGGAUGACGGCCUUCGGGUUGUAAACCUCUUUCAGCUCCGACGAAGCGAAAGUGACGGUAGGGGCAGAAGAAGCACCGGCCAACUACGUGCCAGCCGCCGCGGUAAGAC